CUCUGAAUUACAAGGGGACAUCAAAGAAAGAAGAGAAUUCUAGUGGAGAGUAUCUACUCACCAAAAGCCAGCAAGUGAUGAGAACACUUAAAGAUAUAAUUUGGAGAGUGAUCAGAGCUUCACACUGAGAAGAUGACUGUGGAAUCUAGAGGGCCUUGUUCAGAAAUGGUUACCUCUGCCAUAUCUGCAUCUAAUGACAAUGUAAAAGGAACACGAGCAGAAGAGAAUGCUUAA
rnacentral:lncRNA from 1 species